rnacentral:rRNA from 1 species
UACGUAGGGGGCAAGCGUUGUCCGGAAUCAUUGGGCGUAAAGCGCGUGUAGGCGGCCCGGUAAGUCCGCUGUGAAAGUCAGGGGCUCAACCCUCGAAUGCCGGUGGAUACUGUCGGGCUAGAGUGCGGGAGAGGCGAGUGGAAUUCCUGGUGUAGCGGUGAAAUGCGCAGAUAUCAGGAGGAACACCAAUUGCGAAGGCAGCUCGCUGGAACGUAACUGACGCUGAGGCGCGAAAGCGUGGGGAGCAAACAGG